UCUCCGUAGGUGAACCUGCGGAGGGAUCAUUACUGAGCGAGGGCCCCCCCGGCCCGACCUCCAACCCUUUGUGAACACAACUUGUUGCUUCGGGGGCGACCCUGCCGUUUCGACGGCGAGCGCCCCCGGAGGCCUUCCAACACUGCAUCUUUGCGUCGGAGUUAAAGUAAAAUAAACAAAACUUUCAACAACGGAUCUCUUGGUUCCAGCAUCGAUGAAGAACGCAGC
rnacentral:misc_RNA from 1 species